rnacentral:rRNA from 1 species
AUUGAACGCUGGCGGCAUGCCUUACACAUGCAAGUCGAACGGCAGCACGGGAGCAAUCCUGGUGGCGAGUGGCGAACGGGUGAGUAAUAUAUCGGAACGUGCCCAGUCGUGGGGGAUAACGUAGCGAAAGCUACGCUAAUACCGCAUACGAUCUACGGAUGAAAGCGGGGGAUCGCAAGACCUCGCGCGAUUGGAGCGGCCGAUAUCAGAUUAGCUAGUUGGUGGGGUAAAAGCUCACCAAGGCGACGAUCUGUAGCUGGUCUGAGAGGACGACCAGCCACACUGGAACUGAGACACGGUCCAGACUCCUACGGGAGGCAGCAGUGGGGAAUUUUGGACAAUGGGCGCAAGCCUGAUCCAGCCAUGCCGCGUGAGUGAAGAAGGCCUUCGGGUUGUAAAGCUCUUGCCGGAGAAUCGCAUGGGUUAAUACCCUGUGUGGAUGACGGUACCGGCGAUAAGAAG